rnacentral:rRNA from 1 species
AAUGAGGAUAAUUUACAAACCUUACCGAAUGCAAUUGGAGGGCAAGUCUGGUGCCAGCAGCCGCGGUAAUUCCAGCUCCAAUAGCGUAUAUUAAAGUUGUUGCAGUUAAAAAGCUCGUAGUUGAAGUUCUGAUUGCUCAGGUUUCCAGCCUUAGGCGGAGAUACUGACAGUCAUCCGCUUGCAAACAUAUGUUCGAUCUUCACCGGUUGGCUAUGUGAGUAAGCACUUUACCUUGAGAAAAAACAGAGUGUUCCAGGCAGGUUUGUCCGGGAUGCAUUAGCAUGGAAUAAUAGAACAUGACUGAAGUCGAUUUAUUGGUUUAAGGCUUUAGUAAUGAUUAAUAGGAACAGUCGGGGGCAUUCGUACUCAGCAGUCAGAGGUGAAAUUCUAAGAUUUGCUGAAGACGAACUAAUGCGAAAGCAUUUGCCAAGGAUGUUUUCAUUAAUCAAGAACGAAAGUU